UGGGGAGUCGUCAAGUGGUUAAGACCCCGGAUUCUGAUUCCGGUAUGCGUAGGUUCGAAUCCUACCUCCCCAGCCA
rnacentral:tRNA from 9 species